rnacentral:rRNA from 1 species
UUUGAAGAGAGAGUUAAAUAGUACGUGAAAUCGCUUAGAGGUAAACGAGUGGAGCCGAAAAUGUUCUAUGGGAUUCAGUUGUCUUCGGUGAUAAUGAUUGUUGUYCGGUAAAAUCUCACUAGGAAUUAUCGGAUCGAUAUGUUUGUUACUGGAGCGAUGCACUUUCCAUAGGACUGAACUGUGACCAAUAGAAUUGUUUUUCUAUCGUAAUAAUGAAGGUGAUCAUUUGUUCGCAAGUGGUUUUAUAGCUUAUUACAUGGUUGAACGUAAUGUAUUGGUGAAUGCGAUUAGUUAAUAUUGGUGAUGUGUUAUACAUGUUAGUUGGUGGCUGGCUCAUUGUAGACUGUCGUCAGGUGAUGUGUGUGAUAUCGUUGUUGAUGGAUUAAUCUAAAGUCACAGUGUAUAUGUAGGUUACCUACUUGUCCCGUCUUGAAACACGGACCAAGGAGUUUUAUAUGAUCGUGAGUCAAAGGGCUUUACGAAACCCCAGGGCAUAAUUAAUGUAAAGGUUUACUUUUGUAGACUGCGAUGUGACCUGAAAUGAAGAAUCAGCAAUGGUUUUUGAUUUUCAGUGCAACAUCGACCCGUCUAAAGAUGUUCGCAUCUGGGCGGAGUUUGAACGAUCAUGUAGAGACCCGAAAGAUGGUGAACUAUGCUUGUGCAGGUUGAAGUCAGAGGAAACUCUGAUGGAGGACCGCCGCGGUUCUGACGUGCAAAUCGAUCGUCGGACAUGAGUAUAGGGGCGAAAGACUAAUCGAACCAUCU